CAGGGUACCCUUUGACACUCCUUAGUUCAACCAAAUGAACUAAAAUUUCAAAAUAACACAAUUUUUUGAAAAACUAGUUCAUUUGUUUGAACUAAGGAGGACUAAAGGAUAUCCUG
rfam:Brachypodium distachyon strain Bd21 chromosome 2, whole genome shotgun sequence.